CAGGAUUCGUGUCUCCUAAUCACUCAGGGAUCCAGAUUGAGUGGAGUUGCUAUGAUGCUACUCUUUCAAGAUUCCCUCCAUGUACUAAGUUAGAGGAACAGAACAUAGAGAAUAAUGCAGCAGCUCUUGAGUCCGUUUGUAUGGAAGUGAUAGACACACAUUCAUCUGCUCAUAUCUUUGUAGCACGGCCAUCCUUUUCACUAGUAGGUAGGGAAAUGUGACCUUCCAUGUACAUGGAACAGCAAAAACACUCAAUACUGAUGACUCUGGGUGUUGUCCACUGCCACAGGAAGAACAGGAGAAGCAGAAAGAUGGAAUGAUGACCCCAGUGACAGGAAGUCAAGUUUACAGUUAUUUCCAGAGGAGCCAAAUGGGAAAUGAGUUAAUGGCAACAUCUUCCAGGUCCACCAUUGUUAUGAAAAUGCUGGGAGGUAAGGCCCAGCUUCUGUAGCUCACUGAUGCUUCACUAGCACUAAGCCAAGCCUCAGAAGUCUCAUGUAAUAAUCAGGUCCUAGGGCCUAUUGUGG
rnacentral:lncRNA from 1 species